GACAGAGGCCCCAAGCGUUAGGCGGAAUCACUGGGCUUAAAGCGUGUGUAGGCGGAUCGUUAAGUGUCUUGUGAAAUCCCACGGCUCACCCGUGGAACUGCUGGGCAUACUGGCGAUCUUGGGCCAACUAGGGGCAGCCGGAACAAGCGGUGGAGCGGUGAAAUGCGUAGAUAUCGCUUGGAACGCCGAAGGUGAAAACAGGCUGCUGGGGUUGUGCCGACGCUGAGACACGAAGCCAGGGGAGCAAACGGG
rnacentral:rRNA from 1 species